ACUCAUCAAUACUACACAGACGAAUAUUAUCGCAACUAAACCCUUGAUUGUCAUUUUCAUUACAUGGCAUCUUCACUAGCCAAACCCAACGACAAAACCAAGAAGAAGAUCAAGAUUAGUAAAGACACUGAAACCCCAGAUUUUGUGUCCACUCAUAUUUGCAUCAAACGUAUUCAUACCACGCAAACACUAGACCGGGAAGUGGUUCUACGGAGCAUACGUCAACGCCGACGUGUAAACAAAGUCAAAUCGGUAUUCCAAACACUGUUUGGUUUCCCGUUAACAAGCAAAAAAACACGAUGGUAAUUGCGAUCAAGAUCCCGAUGAUGCUUCAACAGUGCCUUGACGUUGGUUUGUAAGUUGUAACUUAUAUAUAUAAAAGUGAUAAGUCAUAAGUAUGGGUCCUUCAAUUUUGAAGACAACUCUG
rnacentral:sRNA from 1 species